CGGUAGUCCUAACACAUGCAAGUCGAACGGCAGCACAGAGGAGCUUGCUCCUUGGGUGGCGAGUGGCGGACGGGUGAGGAAUACAUCGGAAUCUACUCUGUCGUGGGGGAUAACGUAGGGAAACUUACGCUAAUACCGCAUACGACCUACGGGUGAAAGCAGGGGAUCUUCGGACCUUGCGCGAUUGAAUGAGCCGAUGUCGGAUUAUCUAGUUGGCGGGGUAAAGGCCCACCAAGGCGACGAUCCGUAGCUGGUCUGAGAGGAUGAUCAGCCACACUGGAACUGAGACACGGUCCAGACUCCUACGGGAGGCAGCAGUGGGGAAUAUUGGACAAUGGGCGCAAGCCUGAUCCAGCCAUACCGCGUGGGUGAAGAAGGCC
rnacentral:rRNA from 1 species